GAACAAUAAGUCAUGCAAAAAUUGCACAUGGAUGUAAUGGAGUUGAAACAAAUUAAUGGCCUCUUGCAAACAAUGAAAAAGACUGGGCCAUGAUGUUAUAGUAUUUACAAGGGAGUCUUUGUUUCCAACUCCCAGUAGUGUGGAAGGGGUUACAUGUGCCUUUCGACAAUAAAAAUCCAUAUAUACAAAUUAAGAGCAUACAUGUAUUUAUGCAUACUCUUUUCUAUCAAAUUUGGCGUCCGAACAAUCCGGCGUGAGCUGGGAUGACCCCAACCCUCAUUAAUAAGAGAUGCUUGACUUGUAUUUUCCCCCUUCAACACGUAUAUAUGUUAAUUA
rnacentral:lncRNA from 1 species